AAUGAGAGACAGCCCCUUUACUCCACAGCCUGCCGAAAUUAUUCAAACCAGCCAAUCUUUAAACCUCCCUACAGCUGCUCUGCCUGUUCUUUCCUGUAGAAACCACAGUAAAGUCUCUUGCCUCCAGUUCUCUCCCUUCCUUCUGCCUCGUGGCUGAUCUCAGGGCUUCCCUGUGUGGCCCCUCCUGCAGUGGCUUGUCUCCUCCUCUUGGGAACUGUAUUAGCCAAGCAAAGAGGAAUAUAAUGCUGUUUCAGAGAGAAUAGAUUAUUUAAAGGCUAGAAGUGGAAGGUAACUUGGUGAACUCACAAAGAGAGAACUCCAGGAGAUAUUAAGAAGUGAGAAUACAGAGGCAAAAGAGCCAAGAGUUGAAUAAUUAUGGCUCCCUUGGCCUUUGGAAGGGCUGGUGGAGCUUCUUUGCCUGCUGAUGCAGAGAGCCAGAGUAACUGACACACGUGGGAAUAGGUGAGCCCAACUGCAUGCCCACAGGACAAGGCUGAAGGUUUUGCUUCUGACCUAAGCCGUAAAAGAUGGCUCUGAACAUUUCAAAGGAUGAGAUGGAACAAAAAGGAUGAACAUUUUGUAUAAAGCAGGAAACCACAGGGUCUUUUCAAGGAGCUGUGAAACUUCCGUGUGCUGAAAAAGAGAUUGGCCCUGAGCUAACGUCCAUGCUCAUCUUCCUCUGUAUGUGGGACACCUGCCACAGCAUGGCUUGACAAGCCGUGCCAUGUCCGCACCCGGGAUCUGAACCGGAGAACCGUGGGCCACUGCAGUGGACCAUGCAAACUUAACUGCUGCACCACCGGGCCAGCCCCUAAUUUUCCAUUUUGUAAGACCGUGAAAAAGCUUGAGUAACCACUUGUGUUUACAUCUUCUUUUAUAAUUAGCAGGGAAGUGCCUCAAAAGAGACAUUUGCCUCUGUUUGGAGCAGCUUUGAUGAGUGUAAGAUCGUGAAGGUUUGUACUGCUAUUUGUUACCAAACAAUCAUCGAGAAACUUCAGUGUGCGUGAUUAUGGUGUUUGAAUUUUUUCUCAUCUUUCAGGACCAAUUGCUUACUUUAUAAAAUUUCAUUUUUGUUUGUAUUUUGCUUUGUGAUUUUUUAGUAAGGGCAUAUUUAUUUUACUUUUAAAGUGUUUACCUUUCUAUAUAUUAGCAUUGUUUUAAAAUAUUACAUCAAAGUUCCUGGUUUUUAUUGUUUUGUAUUACUGUAUUUCACAUCCACUUUUCCAUUAGUUUUUUGCUACCUGUUAAUUUUAUGAUGUUUAAAAUUUUUCAUAGCCUCUUUUGUGAUUGUUAAUUCUCUUAUUCUUAAUCUUCUAGUUUCUUCAAUAUGUCAAGCAUUUAAUUUUUUAAAUUUCACAUAUUUUUUCAAAUCGGAAAAUUUCUUCUCCCAUGUUUGCAUUAUGGUUCUUCAUUUACUUGUUAAAAGGAAAUAUCUGUCUUUAACGAGUUAACUCCAAAAGAGUAGAAAGUUUUAUCUCUCUGCGGUAGGCAGAAUAGUGCUCUUUCAAAGAUACCUACGCCCCACUUCCUGGAAUCUGUGAACAUGUUACUUUAUGGCAAAAGAGACUUGCAGAUGUGAUUAACAUUAUGGACCCUAAAAUAUCCUAGAUUAUCCAGGUGGGCACAAUCUAAUCACCUCACUCUUUAAAAGUGGAAGAGGAAAGCAAAAGCGUGGGUCAGAGAGAAAAGAAGAAAGAAGGAGAGAGUGGAAGCCUGAAAGGGACUCGGGCUGCCCUCGCUGGCUUCUAUGAAGGAGGAAGGGAAGCGGGAGCCAAGGAAUGAUGGGGGUGCUUCUAGAAGCUGGGAACAGCCUUCCGUUGGCAGCCAGCAAGAAUAUGGCGAUCUUUGUCAUAGGAUCUCAAGAAGUGAAUUCUGCUGACAGCCCAGAUGAGGAAGAAAUGGAUCCUUCUCUAGGACCUCCAGAAAGGAACACAGCUGGCCAAACCUUUGAUUUGAGCCUGUUGAGACCAGUGUUGGAUCUUUGUCCUACAGAAAUAUAGAAUAACAAAUUUGUGUUGUUUCAAGCCAGUGAAUUUGUGGUCAUCUCUUAUGGAGGCAAUAGAAAACUAACGCACUCUCUAGUAUUU
rnacentral:lncRNA from 1 species